GUCAAAAUAAAGGCACUGAUAUAUUUUAAGGUCAAUCAGUUUGUUUCCGUUGAAGCAGCUCAGACUUGUGUUUUAGUCUAGGACUAGUCUCAUCUUUAAGAAGCCGCUGAAUCGAUGCUUGAAGGUGAGUUGAAUGCUGCUGGUGUCUGGUUUAAUUAGCACGGGCUGCUGGGUAACAGUUGGGAUGGGAUGAUGAUGUAAUCCUGUUAAGUCCUGCAAACAGAUGCCGAGCGCCGUGUGUUUGAGGAACGUGUUUGGCCUUGUUUUGAGACGUGAAGAAUCGCUCCGUUCUCGACUGGAAGCGCCUCGUUUUCUGGAGUCUGGGAUCGUGUUUUGUUCCAGGUCUGUGGGUUUGUUGCUGCUGUGUUCGACCCUGAUCUGACUCUGACUCUGACUCUGGGCCGCUUAUCCUUCAAGACACAAACACGAGCUGACCUUGGAUCUCCGUCAUGUUGGUGUUUCUGCUGGAUGAGAUUAAAGGCGAGGGUUAUGAGCCGCUAACAACAGAAGGACACGCAUGAGACCAAACCUGCGACUAAACAGAAAAGCAGGCUCCGGUCCGGUCCCCCAGCUCCCCGAGGUGUGUGCGGACGAGGCCGGAGCGGCGACCUUUGACCUCCGGCUCCCUGCGGUCACGUCUGUGACAGAGGAGGUUAAUGGUAGCUUUGCUUUCUUCAGCUGUGUGUCAUUGGCUUAUGUAAUGUGCUCGUUUUCUCUGACUAAUUGCCGUCUUCGUAUCGUUCCUGCAUUAAUAGAGCUCGACGAAAUCCCUCUUUAUUUUUCCCAGAUGUCCGUUUUAAUUUGACUACAUUCUUUUAUAUUGUACUUUUUUUUGACAAAACACAUUUAAAUAAAUUGUAAUGCUUAUGCAGUUUAAAAAAAAAGCUAAAUAAUUAGGGUCGUGUGAAAUGAAUUUUAUAAUAAUUGUAAUAAUAAAUCAUUUUUAUUUUACCCAUUUCAGUGUUUUAAUGGAUGCUGUAUUUGUUAAAAGAAAGUUUACUAAACACUGAAUAAAGUGCCUCUCCAUUUAACAUGAAGCGAUGAAGCUAUAAAGUACAGUUUAUUAAAGUGUGCAAGAUUUUUUUUAGAACAAUAUGAAUAAUUUUUUUUCUAGUUUUUCUUAAUUCUGUGUUAUAUGUUAGGAAAC